UACAGAGGGUGCAAGCGUUGAUCGGAAUUACUGGGCGUAAAGCGUGCGCAGACGGUUGCGUAAGUCAGAUGUGAAAGCCCCGGGCUCAACCUGGGAAUUGCAUUUGAGACUGCGUAGCUAGGGUGCGGAAGAGGGAAGCGGAAUUUCCGGUGUAGCGGUGAAAUGCGUAGAUAUCGGAAGGAACACCAGUGGCGAAAGCGGCUUCCUGGUCCAGCACCGACGUUCAGGCACGAAAGCGUGGGGAGCAAACAGG
rnacentral:rRNA from 1 species